ACAAGUGUUUGUGUUUUUUAUGUAGUUACUACAAUUUGGAGUCGAAAUUCGAUGUGCAAAUAUGGUUUAAAUGUGUAAACAAGACGCCUGAUGUUUAAU